rnacentral:rRNA from 1 species
CAGGAGGGAUACCCGCUGAACUUAAGCAUAUCA